UGAGGAAUAUUGCGCAAUGGGGGAAACCCUGACGCAGCGACGCCGCGUGAGUGAGGAAGGUUUUCGGAUCGUAAAGCUCUGUCAGAAGGGAAGAAGUGUUAUCCGGUUAAUACCCGUA
rnacentral:rRNA from 1 species